CGCUGGCGGCAGGCCUAACACAUGCAAGUCGAACGGUAACAGGAAACAGCUUGCUGUUUCGCUGACGAGUGGCGGACGGGUGAGUAAUGUCUGGGAAACUGCCUGAUGGAGGGGGAUAACUACUGGAAACGGUAGCUAAUACCGCAUAACGUCGCAAGACCAAAGAGGGGGACCUUCGGGCCUCUUGCCAUCGGAUGUGCCCAGAUGGGAUUAGCUUGUUGGUGGGGUAACGGCUCACCAAGGCGACGAUCCCUAGCUGGUCUGAGAGGAUGACCAGCCACACUGGAACUGAGACACGGUCCAGACUCCUACGGGAGGCAGCAGUGGGGAAUAUUGCACAAUGGGCGCAAGCCUGAUGCAGCCAUGCCGCGUGUAUGAAGAAGGCCUUCGGGUUGUAAAGUACUUUCAGCGGGGAGGAAGGGAGUAAAGUUAAUACCUUUGCUCAUUGACGUUACCCGCAGAAGAAGCACCGGCUAACUCCGUGCCAGCAGCCGCGGUAAUACGGAGGGUGCAAGCGUUAAUCGGAAUUACUGGGCGUAAAGCGCACGCAGGCGGUUUGUUAAGUCAGAUGUGAAAUCCCCGGGCUCAACCUGGGAACUGCAUCUGAUACUGGCAAGCUUGAGUCUCGUAGAGGGGGGUAGAAUUCCCGGUGUAGCGGUGAAAUGCGUAGAGAUCUGGAGGAAUACCGGUGGCGAAGGCGGCCCCCUGGACGAAGACUGACGCUCAGGUGCGAAAGCGUGGGGAGCAAACAGGAUUAGAUACCCUGGUAGUCCACGCCGUAAACGAUGUCGACUUGGAGGUUGUGCCCUUGAGGCGUGGCUUCCGGAGCUAACGCGUUAAGUCGACCGCCUGGGGAGUACGGCCGCAAGGUUAAAACUCAAAUGAAUUGACGGGGGCCCGCACAAGCGGUGGAGCAUGUGGUUUAAUUCGAUGCAACGCGAAGAACCUUACCUGGUCUUGACAUCCACAGAACUUUCCAGAGAUGGAUUGGUGCCUUCGGGAACUGUGAGACAGGUGCUGCAUGGCUGUCGUCAGCUCGUGUUGUGAAAUGUUGGGUUAAGUCCCGCAACGAGCGCAACCCUUAUCCUUUGUUGCCAGCGGUCCGGCCGGGAACUCAAAGGAGACUGCCAGUGAUAAACUGGAGGAAGGUGGGGAUGACGUCAAGUCAUCAUGGCCCUUACGACCAGGGCUACACACGUGCUACAAUGGCGCAUACAAAGAGAAGCGACCUCGCGAGAGCAAGCGGACCUCAUAAAGUGCGUCGUAGUCCGGAUUGGAGUCUGCAACUCGACUCCAUGAAGUCGGAAUCGCUAGUAAUCGUGGAUCAGAAUGCCACGGUGAAUACGUUCCCGGGCCUUGUACACACCGCCCGUCACACCAUGGGAGUGGGUUGCAAAAGAAGUAGGUAGCUUAACCUUCGGGAGGGCGCUUACCACUUUGUGAUUCAAA
rnacentral:rRNA from 1 species